rnacentral:rRNA from 1 species
UACAGAGGGGGCAAGCGUUGCUCGGAAUUACUGGGCGUAAAGGGCGCGUAGGCGGAAUGGCAAGUCGGUCGUGAAAUCCUUCGGCUCAACCGAAGAACGUCGAUCGAAACUGCCGUUCUUGAGGAUUGCAGAGGAGACUGGAAUUCCCGGUGUAGCGGUGAAAUGUGUAGAGAUCGGGAGGAACACCGGUGGCGAAGGCGGGUCUCUGGGCAAUUCCUGACGCUGAGGCGCGAAAGCGUGGGGAGCAAACGGG